rnacentral:pre_miRNA from 1 species
AUAUUAAUCAACUGAGGUUCUUGUUUAAAUGCAGAUUCGGAUUCCAUAGGUCUGGCAUGAGGUCCAAGACUCAGUAUUUCAAACAAGUUCCCAGGUGUUAUUGAU